CCCGAAUCUGGUGGAAAGCCUGGUGGCGUUGCCAGUUCGGGGGUUGUGGGAUCUGACAGAGGGGGCACCAGACCUCUCACAGAGUUACAAUCUGCUGUGUAGUGGAACCGUCCUGGAAAGACGGGCCGCAGAGGGUAAUAGCCCCCGUACACGAAAUGCAUGCAGACUCUGGUCAGAGAUCCCGAGUAGCGCCGGACCCGUGAAAUCCGGCGUGAAUCUGCGAGGACCACCUCGUAAGGCUAAGUACUCCUAGACGACCGAUAGCGAACUAGUACCGUGAGGGAAAGGUGAAAAGUACCCCGGGAGGGGAGUGAAAUAGUACCUGAAACCGUUGGUCUACAAGCAGUCAAAGCGUCGUCACCGGUUCGCCGGUGGCCGCGAUGGCGUGCCUUUUGAAGAAUGAGCCAACGAGUUACGGUAUGUGGCGAGGUUAACCAGUGAUGGGAAGCCGGAGCGAAAGCGAGUCUGAACAGGGCGUUCAGUCGCAUGCCGUAGACCCGAAGCCGAGUGAUCUAUCCAUGGGCAGGCUGAAGCGGGGGC
rnacentral:rRNA from 1 species